rnacentral:rRNA from 1 species
UGGUGGGUAGUUUGACUGGGGCGGUCUCCUCCUAAAGAGUAACGGAGGAGCACGAAGGUUGGCUAAUCCUGGUCGGACAUCAGGAGGUUAGUGCAAUGGCAUAAGCCAGCUUGACUGCGAGCGUGACGGCGCGAGCAGGUGCGAAAGCAGGUCAUAGUGAUCCGGUGGUUCUGAAUGGAAGGGCCAUCGCUCAACGGAUAAAAGGUACUCCGGGGAUAACAGGCUGAUACCGCCCAAGAGUUCAUAUCGACGGCGGUGUUUGGCACCUCGAUGUCGGCUCAUCACAUCCUGGGGCUGAAGUAGGUCCCAAGGGUAUGGCUGUUCGCCAUUUAAAGUGGUACGCGAGCUGGGUUUAGAACGUCGUGAGACAGUUCGGUCCCUAUCUGCCGUGGGCGCUGGAGAACUGAGGGGGGCUGCUCCUAGUACGAGAGGACCGGAGUGGACGCAUCACUGGUGUUCGGGUUGUCAUGCCAAUGGCACUGCCCGGUAGCUAAAUGCGGAAGAGAUAAGUGCUGAAAGCAUCUAAGCACGAAACUUGCCCCGAGAUGAGUUCUCCCUGAGACUUUAAGUCUCCUGAAGGA